GACGUAGGGUGCGAGCGUUGUCCGGAUUUAUUGGGCGUAAAGAGCUCGUAGGCGGCUCGUCGCGUCGACCGUGAAAACCCGCGGCUUAACUGCGGGCUUGCGGUUGAUACGGGCGGGCUAGAGUUCGGUAGGGGAGACUGGAAUUCCUGGUGUAGCGGUGAAAUGCGUUGAUAUCAUCAGGAACACCGGAGGCGAAGGCGGCGUCACUGGGGGGUUAUCUGACGCUGAGGAACGAAAGCCAGGGGAGCAAACGGG
rnacentral:rRNA from 1 species